CUCGAGCUUUAAGGUGAAGGAAUACUACUUCCUCCUUGCCUCUUUCCACAAACUAUCUUUUUGGGGAAGAGAAGGCCCACAUGACCUGAGAACAUGAGACUGCCCAUUGGGCCAUUUGGAAGACGUUCUGAACUCUGAGGAGCUUUUUGCUCAAAAUAUUGAAACAAACUCACAGGAGGUCAGCACUUACUGGUUGCAUUCAAUAUUUAUUGGACUUCUGGGUGUAAGUGAAUUGUGCACAAAAUAUCAUGCUGAUGUAGUUGCAUUUGCUACUGUUUGGUUUCAUCUUUCAAAAUAAGUACCAUGCUUCUCUUGCAUUUGGAGAGCUUUGCCAUCCAGAAGUCUUCUACUGUAACAGAC